rnacentral:lncRNA from 1 species
AACCAUGAUUUUAGGGCAUGUCCAGCCCUUCUAAUCUAUUUAUUCAAAGAGGAGAAGACUCAUCCCAGGGGGCUGUCAGAGCAGGUUUGGGUCUUUACAGACGAGCACAGCGGUUUAAAAAGAAAGUGUACGCUUCCUGAUGCAUUGGUCAACUCCACUUCCGUUCCUUGUGCAAACUCCUCAGCAUUUUCUGACAGCAACCAUCUUCUAUGGAUGGGUAUCUCCCUUUGGAUCUGGAAACAAUGAGAGGACCUGUGAA